rnacentral:rRNA from 1 species
ACUCCUACGGGAGGCAGCAGUGGGGAAUAUUGGACAAUGGGCGAAAGCCUGAUCCAGCCAUGCCGCGUGUGUGAAGAAGGUCUUCGGAUUGUAAAGCACUUUAAGUUGGGAGGAAGGGCAGUAAGUUAAUACCUUGCUGUUUUGUACGUUACCAACAGAAUAAGCACCGGCUAACUUCGUGCCAGCAGCCGCGGUAAUACGAAGGGGUGCAAGCGUUAAUCGGAAUUACUGGGCGUAAAGCGCGCGUAGGUGGUUCAGCAAGUUGGAUGUGAAAUCCCCGGGGCUCAACCUGGGAACUGCAUCCAAAACUACUGAGCUAGAGUACGGUAGAGGGUGGUGGAAUUUCCUGUGUAGCGGUGAAAUGCGUAGAUAUAGGAAGGAACACCAGUGGCGAAGGCGACCACCUGGACUGAUACUGACACUGAGGUGCGAAAGCGUGGGGAGCAAACAGGAUUAGAUA